UGACAUACAACAACUGAACAAAGUCAUAGCCUUUUUUUCCCUCUCCUUUUCUUUCUCUCACUCUCUCUCUCUCUCACAGAGAUACAGAAAACAGACAAGAGAAAGAAAGAAAGAAGGAUGGUUUUGCCCAACAGAGCUCAAGCUUUGCCCUUUCUUUUAUUGAAUUUGCUGAAUUGGUACUCUCAUUUCCUCUUUCAAGUCUGGCCUUAUAUUUUAGUGUACUUGGUGAAUCUAUGUUUCUCUUAUUUCUUCAACAUUGAGCUAGGCGAAUUUUAUCCCUUCAAACCAAAGGUGGCCAAAGUCCUGUUCUUAGGCCAGGAUAUGGCCUAUAAAAAGUCAGUGAUUUUGAAACUCUUUGAUGAGAGCAUACUUGGGAAUGAGAAUAUGCAAUCACAGUAUUUGACAUCAUGUGUGUCUAGUAUUGGGGGAAUCAAGUUUAACUUCUUUGAUUUAGGAGAACAUUCCAUAGCUCGUAGAGUUUGGAGAGACUACUGUGCCAAGAUGGAUGCAGUUGUGUACAUUGUGAACGCUAAUACCAGGAACAGGGAGCUAUUUUUGGGGCCAAGAGAAGAGCUGAACGCUCUACUUUCUGAUGAGGCCUUUGCAAAUGUCCCAUUUCUUAUUUUUGGCAUAACAGCUGCUAAACCUUCUUCUUUCCCAAUAGCGGAAUUGCGUUCCCUCUUGGACCUGAACAACAUCACCACAGGGAAUGGUAGGGUAGACCUGGCAGACGCAAAUGCCCGUCCCCUUGAGGUUUUUGUGGCUGAAUCAUACAACCGAAGGCAGUAUCUGGAAGGUUUCGAGCUGCUUUCUAAGUACAUUAAGUAGUAGGCAUUAGAAGCGAAGAUUUUGCAGCUUAUUUUAAGUGGAGAUGCUGGGCGCACUGCCAGAUCUCCUGCUAUAUCUAGUACCACAUGAGAUCCAUCUGGUUUAGGUGAAGGGACUUGAAGUAAUGCAAAAGAUUGAAAUCCGUUUGGAGAGGGCAAUCACUGAGCAUACUUGGGAGUUCUUCUGUGUCUCCAUUUGGGAAGCUUGAGAUUGAUGUUGAAGCAAGUGCCUCCUUCAGCAGGCUCUUUACCAACAAUUCUUAUAUCUCUACCCUUUAGACACACCUAGAGCACAGAUGCUAUAACUUUUACUAAUUAAAUGCUUAUGUAUCUGCUUGAAAGCAAUAAUAUACUUCAUCAUUUCUCAAAUUGAGGUUA